rnacentral:pre_miRNA from 1 species
GAAAUACUCCCUCCGUCCGAAAAAGCUUGUCCCUCAAAUGGAUGUAUCUAGCACAAAUUGGUGCUAGAUAGAUCCAUUUGAGGGACAAGCUUUUUCGGACAGAGGGAGUAUAAA